GAUGAAGAACGCAGCGAAAUGCGAUAAGUAAUGUGAAUUGCAGAAUUCAGUGAAUCAUCGAAUCUUUGAACGCACAUUGCGCCCCCUGGUAUUCCGGGGGGCAUGCCUGUUCGAGCGUCAUUUCACCACUCAAGCCUCGCUUGGUAUUGGGCAUCGCGGUCCGCCGCGCGCCUCAAAUCGACCGGCUGGGUCUUCUGUCCCCUAAGCGUUGUGGAAACUAUUCGCUAAAGGGUGUUCGGGAGGCUACGCCGUAAAACAACCCCAUUUCUAAGGUUGACCUCGGAUCAGGUAGGGAUACCCGCUGAACUUAAGCAUAUCAUAAGCGGAGGA
rnacentral:misc_RNA from 1 species